rnacentral:lncRNA from 1 species
GUUCCUUGCUUGAAUCACCAAAACCAAGCUUUUUCUUCCUUUCUCUCUUUUUCUUUCUUCUCCUCCUAGGGUUUAGGUGUGCUGGAAAUUGGGGUUAAAGGCUAUAAAUUUAAUGCUCAAGAAGUUUGGAGAAGAAAUGAAAAGAAAACUUGGAAAGGAAAGUGAAGAAAACUUGAUUUCAUAGUGGAUAAAGAGAAAA